UUCCUACGGGAGGCAGCAGUGGGGAAUAUUGCACAAUGGGGGAAACCCUGAUGCAGCAACGCCGCGUGAGUGAAGAAGUAUUUCGGUAUGUAAAGCUCUAUCAGCAGGGAAGAGAAUGACGGUACCUGACUAAGAAGCCCCGGCUAACUACGUGCCAGCAGCCGCGGUAAUACGGAGGAUGCGAGCGUUAUCCGGAUUUAUUGGGUUUAAAGGGUGCGUAGGCGGGCUGUUAAGUCAGCGGUAAAAGCCCGGGGCUCAACCCCGGCGAGCCGUUGAAACUGGCUGUCUUGAGAUGUCGAGAGGUA
rnacentral:rRNA from 1 species